rnacentral:rRNA from 1 species
UGCAAGUCGAGCGAACAGAUAAGGAGCUUGCUCCUUUGACGUUAGCGGCGGACGGGUGAGUAACACGUGGAUAACCUACCUAUAAGACUGGGAUAACUUCGGGAAACCGGAGCUAAUACCGGAUAACAUAUUGAACCGCAUGGUUCAAUAGUGAAAGGCGGCUUUGCUGUCACUUAUAGAUGGAUCCGCGCCGUAUUAGCUAGUUGGUAAGGUAACGGCUUACCAAGGCAACGAUACGUAGCCGACCUGAGAGGGUGAUCGGCCACACUGGAACUGAGACACGGUCCAGACUCCUACGGGAGGCAGCAGUAGGGAAUCUUCCGCAAUGGGCGAAAGCCUGACGGAGCAACGCCGCGUGAGUGAUGAAGGUCUUCGGAUCGUAAAACUCUGUUAUCAGGGAAGAACAAAUGUGUAAGUAACUGUGCACAUCUUGACGGUACCUGAUCAGAAAGCCACGGCUAACUACGUGCCAGCAGCCGCGGUAAUACGUAGGUGGCAAGCGUUAUCCGGAAUUAUUGGGCGUAAAGCGCGCGUAGGCGGUUUUUUAA